rnacentral:hammerhead_ribozyme from 1 species
GUACUGCUGAAGAGUCCCAAACUAGGACGAAACAAACUGCCAGUAC